GUUUUACGGUUAUUUCGUUUCUUUCUUUUAGUCGAAUCCUGUGAGUGCUUCGUGGGGGUGUUGAAUUUCUCCUUAGCGUUGCGUGGCUUAGCAGAUAGUUUAGCUUGCUCUUGCUCUGAUUUCUUAUUUCGUGUCGAUUCGUCUGUCCUGCUUUAGUCAUUUUGACUUGUUCAGUUUAAUUUGCAUGACAGUUCGGCUGCUUGGUUGAGGGAUUGUCUCUCAGUGCAUCAUCUUAAUAAUAGUGCAAAGUGGGACUGGUUGAUGUUAGAGAUUUACUGGUUUUCUUUCUCUCUUUUUGGGUUAAACCUUGAAUCUGUCUGUUUCCAGCAGCAUUUGGUUUUCAUGGGACUGUAAGUUCGUCCCUUUUGUGCUAGUGAAGGUUGUGCUUCUGCAGCUCAUUAAGGAGCUAAAGUAGGUUACUGUUAUGGCAUUCAUCAUUUCUGCAUAUUAAGUUGUAAUAACUUCUUAUUGGAGUUGUUGUGGAGUUUGUGGUUCAAAGUU